rnacentral:rRNA from 1 species
UACGGGGGGGGGCAAGCGUUGUUCGGAAUUACUGGGCGUAAAGCGCACGUAGGCGGCUUUGUAAGUUAGAGGUGAAAGCCUGAUGCUCAACAUCAGAAUUUGCCUUUAAGACUGCAUCGCUUGAACGUCGGAGAGGUGAGUGGAAUUCCGAGUGUAGAGGUGAAAUUCGUAGAUAUUCGGAAGAACACCAGUGGCGAAGGCGGCUCACUGGACGACUGUUGACGCUGAGGUGCGAAAGCGUGGGGAGCAAACAGG